rnacentral:lncRNA from 1 species
UUUCGGUGGGGAGAGAAGCAACGGCUGACUAUGACGGUCAUCCACUUCAACACCUUCUGACAGACGUUGCAUAUAGCAGGGUGUCAAACGCCAUCGCCAGCUGCUUGCGAGGGGCAUAUCAACUGAAACCGCCCACGAACACAAAUUGUGUCCACAAUCACGACUGUAAGGUAUUCGACACUUUGCUAAAUAGGAUAGAUUCGCCCGUAUCGUGAUAUGAUCCCAAAAGUGGGUUCGACAUCUCAUACGGUUGAGCCCUCGCCAUCGACAGCACAAGAUCGCCUACGAACACGAGCGACACCGUUGCUGCUAUCCAAUCCGCCGUCCCCCGUCAGCAUCAAGCGCGCAGCCAACGGAUUUACAAAUACCAGCCGGCCGGCCCGUCUCUCGAUCAGCUCCGUGAGACUGCCCUACCCUCCGGUCACGUUCUUCAGGCAUGGCCAUGGAGCGGCGACAUGACCGCCGGUUCUUCCGGAGCACCCAGCCCUGAAAACGAUGCCAUCAUUGGCACACCCUCGCAAGGGACAUCUCAGCUGCCUGCCAUGUUCUUCAGUGUUGUCAUGCUAGCGACUCAGCUACCGCUAUCCAAUGCUGC